rnacentral:misc_RNA from 1 species
UUUCCGUAGGUGAACCUGCGGAGGGAUCAUUAUCAGGAUUUGACUGGGGUGUAUUUUACCUUCCGAGAACUUUUCACUCACUGCUCAUCCACUCUACACCUGUGCACUUACUGUGGGUAUGAGAUCGUGAAGCGUGCUUUUUUACCGGAGCGUGGGAAGCGUGUCUGUGCCUGCGUUUAUCACAAACACUAUCAAGUAUCAGUAUGUGUAUUACUAUGUAACACUUUUAUAAACAACUUUCAGCAACGGAUCUCUUGGCUCUCGCACCGAUGAAGAGCG